rnacentral:lncRNA from 12 species
UUUCAAGUUUCUGUAACAUAUGACUAUCAGAGGCCGGCAUUUUAUGGCAUAAGUAAAAAUUUUACCUUCUACAGGACAUCCUUCUGGCUUUCUUCACCUCUAAAACACCAGGAACUUAUAAAAUAAGAAGAUUCACUAGCAAGCAGCUCUCAAGGUCAACUUUUCUCAAGUUGCAUCCGAAGCUUAUCUUUCUUCUGGUGUUCGCAAGUCAAUACUGUAUGCAAUACACAAGGACAGCUGGAGCUGCUACUUCAGGCAGGUAUCCUAUUCCCCUUAUCCUCAGAGAAUGUCGCUGUCCUGCAGUACAGCCUUGGUCAAGUGUAACAAGCCAGUCUUGGGAAACUGUUCUGAAUGACUACUGCUUUUGGUAGGUUAAAGCUGUUGCAGCUGGGCACAGGAACAGUGGGGUGAAUCUGUCUGGGAAUUGCUUGAAGAUGAGUUGAAUACACCCGUGGAAAGAGCAAAGAGCUCCAUUUCUAUGGGAUGUUCACUCUAUCAGCUGAAAGGCCAUAGGAAUCGUAACCAGGUGAAAUAGGCUUAUGGACUGAUUAUUU